GUGUAAGCUUCAGCAGCACGUACACUAAAACUGAAAUGAUAUCGAGAAGACGAACAUAGCCCCUGAGCAAGGAUGACAUGCAAAUUCAUGGAGCAUUCCAUAUUUUU
ensembl:snRNA U6 U6 spliceosomal RNA